rnacentral:lncRNA from 1 species
AGAGGUAUCUGAUAAAUAUUUUAAGAAUAUGAGAAAAUAUUGAAAAUGUUUUGGGUUUAUAAUUUAUUUAUUUUCAAACAAAUAAUUUUGAUAAUAUAUAUACAUAUAUAUAUCCAUAAAGUAUUAGAGUGUAUUUGUAUUGAAUAUGUACCUCACACAUGAAGAAUAUUGAAGUAUCAUUCAUACCUAUUUAGAACUUGCCCAAACAAUGCUAUAUAUACGAGCUGAGCCUGUGAUAUAAACAUCAUAACCAGAACUAUUGUAGAGAAAAUAAACUCAGCUAUGGCUACCCUUACUGCUCCCAGCCACUAUUCCCCUGUUGAAGAUGCAGAAGCUCUCCAAAAAUCUUUCAAAGGUUUAUUAUUUCACUAAUUAUUCAUGAAAAACUUGUUUCUUUUUCCUGUCUUGGUUUAUGAAUUUGCAUGGUAUUUUCAGUUAAUCUUGAACAUGCAUUAACUUAAAUUGAUUGCGACAUGCAUCAAUGGUUUUAAACUCAUCAGGAUGGGGUGCUGAUGAUAAGACCAUUAUAGCAAUACUAGGCCAUAGAAAUGUUGAUCAGAGGCAGAAAAUCAGAAAAGCUUAUGAGGAACUUUUCCAAGAGGAUCUCAUCAAACGCCUUGAGUCUGAGAUAUCCGGUGACUUUGAGGUACCAUAAAAGCAUGAUAUUUCUAAUGUUUCCACAAAGUUUUAGUUUAGAGGGUAAUAUCUAUGAAACUAUCGGUGUAAAGAUUUAUACAAAGUCGAUAUAAUCUGCUAUUUACUUGUAUUACAAUUUUUGAAGAGUUAAUGGUGAUUGAAAAUGAAUGGUGAAUGAUAGGCCGACCACGUAUAAAACUUUUACACUACAGUGCAUACAUUAUUUUCUCUUUAGUUUAAUAUCAAAAUUAAAUAUAAAGCGGUUUAUGCAAAUCAGAGAGCUGUGUAUCGCUGGAUGUUAGAACCUGCAGACCGUGAUGCUGUUUUGGCCAAUGUGGCAUUUAUAAAGCACUUUUAAAAAUCAAUUUUUAAAUAGUGAUUUUUUGAAUUUUUUUAGAAAAAUUAUUUUUUACAAUAUUCUACACGCAUGAGAGUUUUAAGGUUCUACGUGUAAAGUUUUUAAAAAAUACUUAUAGAGUGUAAUAUCUAUGCACUGUUACUGUAAAGAUUUGUACAUAAUCACUAUAUCAUCUACCAUUUAUUUGAAUUUUGUUUUUGAAGAGUCAAUUAUGAAUAAAUAUAAAUGGUAGAUGAUGCGGUGAUAGUGCAUAAAGCUCAUGCAUUCUUAGUGUAUACAUUUUUCUCAUACUUAUAUAUGUUAUGUACUUCAGAAUAAAAUUUUAAUAUUAACUACAUACACACACGUUAUAUAAUUUACAUCAAUUUAAUAAAAUAUUAAAAGUGAGAGUGUGAAUCAUGAAUGAAUUUAGUUUUCUUAAAUAUUAAAUGAAAUUCCAAAGCAAAAAAUUUUAUUUUUGAAUUUUGGUUUUUUUGAUGGAUUGGAUAUCAAUCCAAAUGAAUAUAUCAUUGAAUAUUCAUCGGAUAUAAUGAAUGAAUUUGAAUUCAUCCAUUCUCAAUACUAUACAUUGGAUUAUAUCCAUUUAAGUCCAUUAGCUCUAAUGGAUGGAUAUGAAUUGUGGAUUAUGAAUAAUUUUGUCACCUCAAAUUAUUUAUAUACAUUUCCUCUUCAUUCUUUAUGCAAUAAUAUAUACUUUGUGUUUUUUUCUCAUUAUAGGUCAACUUAGUAUAUUGAAUGUUAUGUUUUUCUCUUCUACUUAAAUGAUAGUGUAUUAUAAUUUUCUCUCUCAAUGUUCUUGAAUGGUAGUUUGGGUGCCCAAGAGGUAUCUGAUAAAUAUUUUAAGAAUAUGAGAAAAUAUUGAAAAUGUUUUGGGUUUAUAAUUUAUUUAUUUUCAAACAAAUAAUUUUGAUAAUAUAUAUACAUAUAUAUAUCCAUAAAGUAUUAGAGUGUAUUUGUAUUGAAUAUGUACCUCACACAUGAAGAAUAUUGAAGUAUCAUUCAUACCUAUUUAGAACUUGCCCAAACAAUGCUAUAUAUACGAGCUGAGCCUGUGAUAUAAACAUCAUAACCAGAACUAUUGUAGAGAAAAUAAA